rnacentral:lncRNA from 1 species
CUCGCUCAGCAGCCUGAGCCCCAAGCCCACCCGGGCAGUAAACAAGAUCCACGCCUUUGGGAAGAGAGGCAAUGCGCUCAGGAGGGAUCCCAACCUUCCCGUGCACAUCCGAGGCUGGCUUCAUAAGCAGGACAGCUCGGGGCUCCGUCUCUGGAAACGCCGCUGGUUCGUCCUCUCCGGCCAUUGCCUCUUUUAUUACAAGGACAGCCGCGAGGAGAGUGUCCUAGGCAGCGUCCUGCUCCCCAGCUACAAUAUUAGACCAGAUGGGCCGGGAGCCCCCCGAGGGCGGCGCUUCACCUUCACCGCAGAGCACCCGGGCAUGAGGACCUACGUUUUGGCCGCUGACACCUUAGAAGACCUGCGGGGCUGGCUACGGGCGCUGGGCCGGGCCUCCCGUGCGGAGGGGGACGACUAUGGGCAACCCAGGUCACCUGCACGACCCCAGCCCGGGGAGGGCCCCGGCGGCCCCGGUGGUCCCCCGGAGGUGAGCAGAGGGGAAGAGGGGCGCAUCUCAGAAUCACCGGAAGUGACUCGACUCUCCAGAGGUCGUGGUAGACCCAGGCUGCUCACUCCCAGCCCCACAACCGACCUCCACUCUGGACUCCAGAUGCGGAGGGCGAGGAGCCCCGACCUGUUCACCCCCCUCUCUCGCCCUCCCUCGCCUCUGAGCCUCCCCCGUCCCCGUUCUGCCCCUGCGCGGCGACCCCCUGCCCCCUCAGGAGACACAGCACCCCCUGCCCGACCUCACACCCCGUUGAGUCGCAUUGA